UGCAACGAGUUUGGCUGAGGCGUUGGG
rnacentral:sRNA from 1 species